GCAGUCGUGGCUUAAUGGUUAGAGAGUUGGACUUGCAGCUUGAAGGUGAACCUGAAGGUCGUGGGUUCGAGUCUCGGGCCGGCAGGG